rnacentral:lncRNA from 1 species
UCCAGCAAUGUCCAACAACCCAUCUAUUUUUUCCUUACAUUUGUUAUUUUGGUAGGUGGUUGCUUGGACAAUGUCUUCCCUGUAUUUAAUGGUGGUUGCUUGGUUGUCCUAUUUGCCUUAGACCUUUCGCAGGGUAUUUCCUUAAUGAGAGGUUCUUCUGGAUGAUUAAAUCACAUUCCUGUCACUAUGGAAAACUCUUUUAAGCCAAAACAAAUUAGCAUGCCACAGUAGUUGAUCCAAAUUUCAU